rnacentral:rRNA from 1 species
GCCUACGGGGGGCAGCAAUAGGGAAUUUUCGUCAAUGGGCGCAAGCCUGAACGAGCAAUGCCGCGUGAACGAGGAAGGUCUUCGGAUCGUAAAGUUCUGUUGAAGGGGAAAAAGAGCGGAGAGAGGAAAUGGUCUCCGAUUGAUAUUACCCUUCGAGGAAGUCACGGCUAACUACGUGCCAGCAGCCGCGGUAAUACGUAGGUGGCGAGCGUUAUCCGGCAUGAUUGGGCGUAAAGGGGGCGUAGGCGGCCUGCUAAGUCUGGAGUGAAAGGUACCGGCUCAACCGGUACAGGCUCUGGAAACUG